UAUCAUUAACUGAAUCCAUAGGUUAAUGAGGCGAACCGGGGGAACUGAAACAUCUAAGUACCCCGAGGAAAAGAAAUCAACCGAGAUUCCCCCAGUAGCGGCGAGCGAACGGGGAGGAGCCCAGAGCCUGAAUCAGCAUGUGUGUUAGUGGAAGCGUCUGGAAAGGCGCGCGAUACAGGGUGACAGCCCCGUACACAAAAGCGCAUGUGCUGUGAGCUCGAUGAGUAGGGCGGGACACGUGGUAUCCUGUCUGAAUAUGGGGGGACCAUCCUCCAAGGCUAAAUACUCCUGACUGACCGAUAGUGAACCAGUACCGUGAGGGAAAGGCGAAAAGAACCCCGGCGAGGGGAGUGAAAAAGAACCUGAAACCGUGUACGUACAAGCAGUGGGAGCACCCUUUGGGUGUGACUGCGUACCUUUUGUAUAAUGGGUCAGCGACUUAUAUUCUGUAGCAAGGUUAACCGAAUAGGGGAGCCGGAGGGAAACCGAGUCUUAACCGGGCGUUAAGUUGCAGGGUAUAGACCCGAAACCCGGUGAUCUAGCCAUGGGCAGGUUGAAGGUUGGGUAACACUAACUGGAGGACCGAACCGACUAAUGUUGAAAAAUUAGCGGAUGACCUGUGGCUGGGGGUGAAAGGCCAAUCAAACCGGGAGAUAGCUGGUUCUCCCCGAAAGCUAUUUAGGUAGCGCCUCGUGAAUUCAUCUCCGGGGGUAGAGCACUGUUUCGGCUAGGGGGCCAUCCCGGCUUACCAACCCGAUGCAAACUGCGAAUACCGGAGAAUGUUAUCACGGGAGACACACGGCGGGUGCUAACGUCCGUCGUGAAGAGGGAAACAACCCAGACCGCCAGCUAAGGUCCCAAAGUCAUGGUUAAGUGGGAAACGAUGUGGGAAGGCCCAGACAGCCAGGAUGUUGGCUUAGAAGCAGCCAUCAUUUAAAGAAAGCGUAAUAGCUCACUGGUCGAGUCGGCCUGCGCGGAAGAUGUAACGGGGCUAAACCAUGCACCGAAGCUGCGGCAGCGACACUGUGUGUUGUUGGGUAGGGGAGCGUUCUGUAAGCCUGUGAAGGUGUGUCGUGAGGCAUGCUGGAGGUAUCAGAAGUGCGAAUGCUGACAUAAGUAACGAUAAAGCGGGUGAAAAGCCCGCUCGCCGGAAGACCAAGGGUUCCUGUCCAACGUUAAUCGGGGCAGGGUGAGUCGACCCCUAAGGCGAGGCCGAAAGGCGUAGUCGAUGGGAAACGGGUUAAUAUUCCCGUACUUGGUGUUACUGCGAAGGGGGGACGGAGAAGGCUAUGUUGGCCGGGCGACGGUUGUCCCGGUUUAAGCGUGUAGGUGUGUGUUCCAGGUAAAUCCGGUUCACUUUAACACUGAGGCGUGACGACGAGGCACUACGGUGCUGAAGCAACAAAUGCCCUGCUUCCAGGAAAAGCCUCUAAGCAUCAGGUAACAUCAAAUCGUACCCCAAACCGACACAGGUGGUCAGGUAGAGAAUACCAAGGCGCUUGAGAGAACUCGGGUGAAGGAACUAGGCAAAAUGGUGCCGUAACUUCGGGAGAAGGCACGCUGACACGUAGGUGAAGUGAUUUACUCAUGGAGCUGAAGUCAGUCGAAGAUACCAGCUGGCUGCAACUGUUUAUUAAAAACACAGCACUGUGCAAACACGAAAGUGGACGUAUACGGUGUGACGCCUGCCCGGUGCCGGAAGGUUAAUUGAUGGGGUCAGCGCAAGCGAAGCUCCUGAUCGAAGCCCCGGUAAACGGCGGCCGUAACUAUAACGGUCCUAAGGUAGCGAAAUUCCUUGUCGGGUAAGUUCCGACCUGCACGAAUGGCGUAAUGAUGGCCAGGCUGUCUCCACCCGAGACUCAGUGAAAUUGAACUCGCUGUGAAGAUGCAGUGUACCCGCGGCAAGACGGAAAGACCCCGUGAACCUUUACUAUAGCUUGACACUGAACAUUGAGCCUUGAUGUGUAGGAUAGGUGGGAGGCUUUGAAGUGUGGACGCCAGUCUGCAUGGAGCCGACCUUGAAAUACCACCCUUUAAUGUUUGAUGUUCUAACGUGGACCCGUUACCCGGGUUGCGGACAGUGUCUGGUGGGUAGUUUGACUGGGGCGGUCUCCUCCUAAAGAGUAACGGAGGAGCACGAAGGUUGGCUAAUCCUGGUCGGACAUCAGGAGGUUAGUGCAAUGGCAUAAGCCAGCUUGACUGCGAGCGUGACGGCGCGAGCAGGUGCGAAAGCAGGUCAUAGUGAUCCGGUGGUUCUGAAUGGAAGGGCCAUCGCUCAACGGAUAAAAGGUACUCCGGGGAUAACAGGCUGAUACCGCCCAAGAGUUCAUAUCGACGGCGGUGUUUGGCACCUCGAUGUCGGCUCAUCACAUCCUGGGGCUGAAGUAGGUCCCAAGGGUAUGGCUGUUCGCCAUUUAAAGUGGUACGCGAGCUGGGUUUAGAACGUCGUGAGACAGUUCGGUCCCUAUCUGCCGUGGGCGCUGGAGAACUGAGGGGGGCUGCUCCUAGUACGAGAGGACCGGAGUGGACGCAUCACUGGUGUUCGGGUUGUCAUGCCAAUGGCACUGCCCGGUAGCUAAAUGCGGAAGAGAUAAGUGCUGAAAGCAUCUAAGCACGAAACUUGCCCCGAGAUGAGUUCUCCCUGAGACUUAAAGUCUCCUGAAGGAACGUUGAAGACGACGACGUUGAUAGGCCGGGUGUGUAAGCGCAGCGAUGCGUUGAGCUAACCGGUACUAAUGAACCGUGAGGCUUAACCUUACAACGCCG
rnacentral:rRNA from 1 species